AUCAGUUGGCAGUUAACCAUAAAGCAGGUCACCUCGCUAAACCAAUUUCGCGUCUGCAAGAGGAACAAAACAGUGUGAAGAAGAUCUACAAGUUGGAUAUUUGUGCCGUGGGUUCAUCGACCUGACUGCUAACGCAGCUUUGAGGCUGAGGAUCGGGACGGAGUGAUUUCGCGGUGAACCAAAUUGAACGCGAUCACAAUAGAGCAAUUGGUCAUCUUUUGGCCGGACUGUGGUCUGCGCCUCACCUAAGCGCCAAAGCUUUAUUAACAUGGCUUGUGCGCGUGCAUCGAUGCAGUAAGCAGGAGUAUUGAUUGAGAUCGGCCCUAUUCUUCUCUUCCAAACAUGUACUACAACUACAAAAUGGCGGCGGCUGGAACGAACGCUGGUCCACUGGAGUGGAUCUACGCCGCGCUUGACUGGGCCGCUGGUGUGCCCGGAGAACCGGCUAGGAGUCGGU
rnacentral:lncRNA from 1 species